CUUAUAUUUUCUUUCGCAGUAUUUGAAAGCAAAUACUAUGAAUUUUACCUGUAACACGAAUCAUAAGGAGAAAUGAUGAAUUUCCUCAACUUGAUUGACUCGUUUGCUUUUGCUCCUAGAGAUGGGAGCAGGUCAUUGUGAAAUAUAUUGCUAAUAUCUUCCAUUGGUGUGUUUGACUAGAACAAUGAUAGUACCAAACUUGAUAUCAUUGUAUGCGCUCCUAUAAAUGUUUUCGGUGUAUGGAGAGCUUUCUGGAUUGUUUGGCAGUGAAUCUUUGCAUGCCUUUGAUGGGCAAAGGAUGGUUGUGUUUCUGUUCCAAAAUGACGGCUGCGGAUGCUGCAUAAAUAAGAGUUUGGUUUGGUUCCAAGAAGGAUUGGAAGAGGAUCAAUGAGACAUGAAAGUAAGAUAUUUGAUGUGGACUUCAAUGGAAAGUGACAUUUUUUUGGUCUCUUUGUUUCUCUGCAAACGAAUGGUCUUAGUUUUCUGCUCGUGUUUUUUGGUAGGUUAGCUACGAAUGGUAUCUGCUAGCUCAUUGUGUUGUAUCGCCUUUUUAGACUCAAUGCAAAAUUUUCAGUGUCAGAUGGAAAUAAUCAAUCACUAAAAGUUUUUGAAAUUUCUUCUUAAGAUAUAGAAAACUAUAUUCUUAGUAGCAAGAAAAGGUCGCUCCUAAGAUAUAUAGUUUGUCAUGAUUUUCUGUCUAAAUGAAGCCAUACCAUUUUAUGACCUAUGGGACAUGAAAUUUAUGCAAUGAGUGAAUGUGCAAAACUUCAGCUGCCUUCUGAUAGUGUGAAUUAGAUGAAAUAUAUGCAGUUGAGAUAUUGAUAUGAAAGCUUAGCAUGGCUAACUUAUUGUUAUUAAAUUGAGUGAAAUGCAUAAGAGGCUCAUGAACUUGUCGCACGCUGUCACUUAGAUUCCUGUAGUUUAAACAUGUAUUUGUAAAUAUCUAAACUUGUUAAAUAUUACACCAAACUAAAUGAUAUACACCGCAGCUUCGUACUUAUCACACAACUGCAAGGCCGUCAAGGAUGUGGUCGACGAAGGUAUGUUUGAAUGCACUAGAGCUUAUAGUUAGUUGCUAAGAUUAGCCGCAGGAAUUCAAACACCCUAGCUAAUAGUUCAGCUAUUAGCUACUUUUAGCAAAUCAACUAAUAGUUAGCUAACUAUUUGCUAGCUAGCUAAUUCUAGUAUUCUACUAGUAACUUUUUAGCCAGCUUGGCAUCAUUACUCUGCCAUCCAAAGCAAACAGUUCGGCAUCAUUGGAAAAUGCAGCAAAGUUGCUGAAGAUUAAGGCCAUAUUUGAAUGCACUAAAGCUAAUAGUUAGCUGUUAAAAUUAGUUGAAGACAUUCAAACAGUCUAACUAGAUAUUUGUUAGCUAGCUAAUUUCACUAGCAAUUUUUUAGUCAACUAACAAUUAGCUCUAGUGCAUGCAAGCACCUCCUGAUCAAUAUUUAGUAUUCCCGUUCAAUUGCACACAUUAUAUUACACAUGUUGCCUAGAUUAUACCUGCAUUCAUGUGCCUUUCUUGCAACACAUGACUGUUAUUGGAGAGGUAUAUUGAAAAUAUCGUCCUUGUUUUUCUUUGCUGAUGUACCAAUGCAGGCAUACAGCAGGAACCCUCCAAAAGGCUUCGCCAAUGAAGUUGUAUGGACAGAUAUAUAAAUAAAAAGGAGUUUACUUAAUCCGUUGUGAAGAAAUAUAAAUAUUCCGAUUGCGGGGUUCAGCUUGGCCUUUCUUACAAUGCAUUCGUUGCCUUCCAGAUGCUGAACUUUUGUCACAUGCUGCCUGUGAGUUUGCACCUUCGCUAGAACUAGAAGCCUGUAUACUGGGCCGCCAACAUCUGUUCUAGUACCUUUUAGCUUCAUCACAUGUAUCCAUUUGGUUGCUUUUGAUCCCUGCAUCACUCUCAGCUUUGCUAACUCGUGACCCUUGUUCGAGAGUCUGAGCACCUGGAAAUAUAUACGUUGAUUCAUGAAGAGUGGAGAUAACUCACGGGGUACUUGCCUUGUUAUUACAUAGACAUGCAUCCUUCUUUCACACCACACUGUGUUACUCUUCUGCAAGUUGGAUUCUGAAUUUCUGAUGGGACUCUUGAAAACGAUUUGUAACUGCCUAUUGGUAGAAGACAUGUACUGCUUCUGCUUUCUGCUCCUGGUGACAAUAGUUGAAUCAGAGAGAAACAUGAAACCCUUUUGGGCAGAUAUGCGUCAAGUGAGCGCAAACAAGACACCGCCGUUCCCUGGCAAUAGCCAUCUUCAGAACAGAAGCUUCGUAGUUUCCAGAUUUUGACAGGUUUGGGUAUACACCUAAUAAAAAUCUGGAGACGUGGCCAUUGUUGCAACAUUGUUUUGAAGAUUUUGACAGAUUCCGUGGCCAAACUUUGGUGGUUUCAGACUACGGAAGGUCCAAACGGCUACUAGGGACUGCUGAUGCCAAAUUCUUGCGAGCUUGUCCUGGUUUCAACCACGGGUUGUGAUUUGGUUUGGCAUCCAAUGGAAUGGAAUGGAAUGGAAAGUGAGACCAGGUUCAGGAAUGGAAUACAAAAAUAUCUGCUGUGCUCUCUUGUUUUUCUCCCUUUUUAACAAGAAAACGAAGAUUGCUAUACAGCUACUAGUGAGCUCUGUUCUUGCGUUGCUCUCUCAAGAUCUUACCCCUGGACGCAGUAACAGAGAGGUCAGUGGCAAAUGGAGUGGAUGCGUGAUCGUCGGAUGAAGUGGGACCUGAAUUCUCCGUUCACCUGUUUGAGCCCAAGAAGAUUGUGUCGAAAUCGCCUCAGUUCUUCCGUCCAAGGAUCUCGGUGCGAACCCUGACCAGGCAGUCAGGCACCCACCCCAAUGCUAUGUCCAAACUUCAGUCAGAAUGUCAGAUUCGUCAAGCAAACCCACCACAUCUUGGCUUCUUCGUACUUCUCGAGGAAAAGCAGCUAGCGUUUCUCCUUGGUGGCGGUGAGCUUGAACAUGUUGCUUUUGUCAGGUGUCAGAAACAAUUAGGUUGUUCUUUAACUGUCGUUUUGCUCGCAUGGUUUGGAGUUAAAUUCGCUUAGUUUUUGGCAUUUCUAAGCCUUCUAGUGUUUCUAAUAUGUUUGGGAGCUGGCUUAGGGGUUUUGGAAAAGAUCUUAGAGAUUUAUCCUUAUUAGGGCCGCAACUGUUUGUUGGGUGAUUUGGCUAAGCAGAAAUGGCAUAAUUUUUGAAAAAAAAAAUUAUUCUCCUUUGCAGGUUAUCCAUACUAUCUUCCAUUAGCUUCGCACGUGGACUGUACUGUAAAAGUCAGAUUCUCGUCUUUUUAUGGUGGAGGCUACGUAACGUUUGAUGCAAGUGGUUAAGGUCUUUUUUGCUCAGGAUCAUGGGUGACGGUCUAGUCUUCGGAUUGAUAGUCACUAGAGUGUACGUAAGUGUGUGUGAUCGUUCUUCUAAAAGUUGUGUGCUUUCAUUAACAGAG
rnacentral:lncRNA from 1 species